rnacentral:rRNA from 1 species
CCUACGGGAGGCUGCAGUGGGGAAUAUUGGACAAUGGGCGCAAGCCUGACCCAGCAACGCCGCGUGAAUGAAGAAGUCUUUCGGGUUGUAAACUUCUUUUAUCAGGGACGAAGCAAGUGACGGUACCUGAUGAAUAAGCCACGGCUAACUACGUGCCAGUAGCCGCGGUAAUACGUAGGUGGCAAGCGUUCUCCGGAUUUACUGGGUGUAAAGGGCGUGUAGGCGGGAGUGCAAGUCAGAUGUGAAAACUAUGGGCUCAACCCAUAGCCUGCUUUUGAAACUGUAUUUCUUGAGGGCUGGAGAGGCAAGCGGAAUUCCUGGUGUAGCGGUGAAAGGCGUAGAUAUACGGAGGAACACCAGUGGCGAAGGCGGACUGCUGGACAGUAACUGACGCUGAGGCGCGAAAGCGUGGGGAGCAAACAGGAUUAGAUACCCGGGUAGUC